rnacentral:miRNA from 1 species
CCCGUAUUUCCGUGCGUGCUUGA